AGAGUUUGAUCCUGGCUCAGAUUGAACGCUGGCGGCAUGCCUAACACAUGCAAGUCGAACGGCAGCACAGAGGAGCUUGCUCCUUGGGUGGCGAGUGGCGGACGGGUGAGUAAUGCAUCGGGAUCUACCCUGACGUGGGGGAUAACCUCGGGAAACCGGGACUAAUACCGCAUACGUCCUACGGGAGAAAGCGGGGGACCUUCGGGCCUCGCGCGGCAGGACGAACCGAUGUGCGAUUAGCUAGUUGGCGGGGUAAUGGCCCACCAAGGCGACGAUCGCUAGCUGGUCUGAGAGGAUGAUCAGCCACACUGGGACUGAGACACGGCCCAGACUCCUACGGGAGGCAGCAGUGGGGAAUAUUGGACAAUGGGCGCAAGCCUGAUCCAGCAAUGCCGCGUGUGUGAAGAAGGCCUUCGGG
rnacentral:rRNA from 1 species